UACACCAUUCCAGCCUCCGCCGAUUUCAACGCCAUCGACUAUGCCCUCGGGGCCCUCUUACAUGCCGCAUGAGGAUUGCACUCAGCAGGCGAUGUAGCUUGUUUCCUCUGUGAUGAAUAUGUUAGAUGGUCAGAUUUCCGAGGAGAUGUGGAAGGAUAUUCAAGAGGAGCUUAUGUGAGUAAUCCACCUUACUGCUACUUUUGCGAUGGUUUCCGGCAAAUAAUGAAAUCUUGUAGAAGGCGGGUUCUUACUCUGGUGCAAAAGCCAGAUUAUGAACUUUUUGGCCACUUAAAAGAGUGGAGAUGAUGCUAUUGGGAGCACGAGUCGUAGAGAUAGAGUCGUCAGUGACAACGCCGGCGAUGACAUGGAUAGGGCGGAUGAUCUAUCUUAGUCUUGAUGAAUAUGUGUGGAAUUCCAUCACGGAGCAGAUCACGUAGACUUAUACAGCGCGGAGACCUGCAUUGUCUAGCGCUAGAGCUUAGAAGAGAACUCGAAUCUACUCAUCAUGUUGCUACAUCCAUACCUAGUAUUGGGGAGUUUACUCCAGUUAGAGAUAUAGAUGCAAAUCGACAAGCACCUACAGAAGAAAAUGAUCUACAAACGACCCCCCCGCCCUUCACACUCCAUACCUUCUGGACAAUCGUCAGUUGCAUCUGCAUCUGCACCGGCACGUGUUCCAAAACACUCUUUUAAUCUUCGUCCUAAUCGUGCUCUUAGACGUGCGGAGCGACAGGGCGAUGGAGGU